rnacentral:rRNA from 1 species
CUACGGGGGGCUGCAGUGGGGAAUAUUGGACAAUGGGGGGAACCCUGAUCCAGCCAUGCCGCGUGUGUGAAGAAGGCCCUCGGGUUGUAAAGCACUUUCAGUGAGGAAGAACGCCUGGUGGUUAAUACCCAUCAGGAAAGACAUCACUCACAGAAGAAGCACCGGCUAACUCCGUGCCAGCAGCCGCGGUAAUACGGAGGGUGCGAGCGUUAAUCGGAAUUACUGGGCGUAAAGCGCGCGUAGGUGGCUUGAUAAGCCGGUUGUGAAAGCCCCGGGCUCAACCUGGGAACGGCAUCCGGAACUGUCAAGCUAGAGUGCAGGAGAGGAAGGUAGAAUUCCCGGUGUAGCGGUGAAAUGCGUAGAGAUCGGGAGGAAUACCAGUGGCGAAGGCGGCCUUCUGGACUGACACUGACACUGAGGUGCGAAAGCGUGGGUAGCAAACAGGAUUAGAUACCCUGGUAGUC